rnacentral:rRNA from 1 species
GACGAACGCUGGCGGCGUGCCUAACACAUGCAAGUCGAACGGAGACGAUAGCAAUAUUGUCUUAGUGGCGGACGGGUGAGUAACGCGUGGGUAACCUGCCCUUAAAUCUGGGAUAACUUCGCGAAAGCAUUGCUAAUACCGGAUAUUAUUCCUGAGACUGUGGUCUUGGGAAUGAAAGGUGACCUCUUCAUGAAAGUUGCUGUUUAGGGAGGGGCUCGCGUACCAUUAGCUUGUUGGUAGGGUAAUGGCCUACCAAGGCGACGAUGGUUAGCUGGUCUGAGAGGAUGGCCAGCCACACUGGAACUGAAACACGGUCCAGACUCCUACGGGAGGCAG